rnacentral:rRNA from 1 species
GACGAACGCUGGCGGCGUGCUUAACACAUGCAAGUCACGGGGGCCCGCAAGGGCAACCGGCGAACGGGUGCGUAACACGUGAACAACCUGCCCUCGUGUGGGGGAUAGCCAUGCUAACGCGUGGGUAAUACCGCAUACGUUCUUUUGGGGGAGUCCCUGGAAGAGGAAAGCUCCGGCGCACGGGGAGGGGUUCGCGGCCUAUCAGCUAGUUGGCGGGGUAAUGGCCCACCAAGGCGACGACGGGUAGCUGGUCGAGAGGA